rnacentral:rRNA from 1 species
UACGGGGGGAGCAAGCGUUGCUCGGAAUCACUGGGCGUAAAGCGCACGUAGGCGGAUUGUUAAGUCAGGGGUGAAAUCCUGGAGCCCAACUCCAGAACUGCCUUUGAUACUGGCGAUCUCGAGUCCGGGAGAGGUGAGUGGAACUGCGAGUGUAGAGGUGAAAUUCGUAGAUAUUCGCAAGAACACCAGUGGCGAAGGCGGCUCACUGGCCCGGUACUGACGCUGAGGUGCGAAAGCGUGGGGAGCAAACAGG